GAUGAACGCUGGCGGCGUGCCUAAUACAUGCCAGUCGAGCGAACAGACGAGGAGCUUGCUCCUCUGACGUUAGCGGCGGACGGGUGAGUAACACGUGGAUAACCUACCUAUAAGACUGGGAUAACUUCGGGAAACCGGAGCUAAUACCGGAUAAUAUAUUGAACCGCAUGGUUCAAUAGUGAAAGACGGUUUUGCUGUCACUUAUAGAUGGAUCCGCGCCGCAUUAGCUAGUUGGUAAGGUAACGGCUUACCAAGGCAACGAUGCGUAGCCGACCUGAGAGGGUGAUCGGCCACACUGGAACUGAGACACGAUCCAGACUCCUACGGGAGGCAGCAGUAGGGAAUCUUCCGCAAUGGGCGAAAGCCUGACGGAGCAACGCCGCGUGAGUGAUGAAAGUCUUCGGAUCGUAAAACUCUGUUAUUAGGGAAGAACAAAUGUGUAAGUAACUAUGCACGUCUUGACGGUACCUAAUCAGAAAGCCACGGCUAACUACGUG
rnacentral:rRNA from 1 species